GAUGAACGCUGGCGGCGUGCUUAACACAUGCAAGUCGAACGAGAAGUGAAGACGGAACCCUUCGGGCGGAAGGCUUUAUUUCGAGUGGCGGACGGGUGAGUAACGCGUGGGUAACCUGCCUCAUACAGGGGGAUAACAGUUGGAAACGACUGUUAAUACCGCAUAAGACCACCGCACCGCAUGGUGCGGGGGUAAAAACUCCGGUGGUAUGAGAUGGACCCGCGUUCGAUUAGCCAGUUGGCGGGGUAACGGCCCACCAAAGCGACGAUCGAUAGCCGAUCUGAGAGGAUGACCGGCCACAUUGGGACUGAGACACGGCCCAAACUCCUACGGGAGGCAGCAGUGGGGAAUAUUGCACAAUGGGGGAAACCCUGAUGCAGCGACGCCGCGUGAGUGAAGAAGUAUUUCGGUAUGUAAAGCUCUAUCAGCAGGGAAGAAAAUGACGGUACCUGAGUAAGAAGCCCCGGCUAACUACGUG
rnacentral:rRNA from 1 species